AUUGAACGCUGGCGGCAUGCCUUACACAUGCAAGUCGAACGGUAACGGGCCUUCGGGUGCCGACGAGUGGCGAACGGGUGAGUAAUACAUCGGAACGUGCCCGAUCGUGGGGGAUAACGAGGCGAAAGCUUUGCUAAUACCGCAUACGAUCUACGGAUGAAAGCAGGGGACCGCAAGGCCUUGCGCGGACGGAGCGGCCGAUGGCAGAUUAGGUAGUUGGUGGGAUAAAAGCUUACCAAGGCGACGAUCUGUAGCUGGUCUGAGAGGAUGAUCAGCCACACUGGAACUGAGACACGGCCCAGACUCCUACGGGAGGCAGCAGUGGGGAAUUUUGGACAAUGGGCGCAAGCCUGAUCCAGCCAUGCCGCGUGCAGGAUGAAGGCCUUCGGGUUGUAAACUGCUUUUGUACGGAACGAAAAGCCUUCUUUUAAUACAGGAGGGUCAUGACGGUACCGUAAGAGUAAGCACCGGCUAACUACGUG
rnacentral:rRNA from 1 species